rnacentral:lncRNA from 1 species
GCUGGCCAUUAUUUUUUCCCCUGAAUCAUAUACCUAGAAAGCUGGAGAAUGGGAGGUUUCUUGAGUUAAUAGUAAAAAUCAUAAUUCGAAUUCAUGGUUGGGAAAGUCCUUUAUAAGCAUUAUCCCAGUCAAGCUUCCAAUUUCUCCUCUUCCUGACGUCUGGAGUCAGGCAGGACAAGGCUGAUCCCUUCUCCCCUAAUAGCCCCUCACACACUGAAGACAGCCAUCAUAAGCCCUGAAUUGCCCUCUCUUCCCCCCUUCCCACUUCCCAAAGAAGGAGUGGGAAAGCCAAAUUGUGGGAGGACUGACUGGCUGGGAUCGGUGGGCAGCCGCUUCUCUCCAGUUCCUCAGAUGCAGCCUCUCACCCUCUCACCCCAGAUGAGGAAACUGAGAUUCAAAGAGGGAAGGUGAUUUCCCCCAGGUCCCCCAGAAGAGCUGGACUUCACACUCAAGCUUCCUGCAAGAAAGAACAGUUCUUGAAUCAGCUGGUGUACGUGCUAAAGAAGAACAUCAAGGUUCCAUAGGGAUAUGGCUUAAUCCAGUACUUGCCACCAUGAUGCCUCCCGAGACUAUCUCUCCUAAUGAGGUUGUAAGCAGGACCCAGGACCCUGUAGGAUACCUGCCUUCCCCAAAGGGGUAUCUACCUAUGGCUGUAAAGACCUACAGGGAAGAGCUCCAAAUCACCAGGAAUCGGAUUCUGAUUGGGCCAGCACCCUUGUGCACAGAAGCCAUUUUAUUCACCUGGAAAAUAGCCCCCCAAAAUGUAAAGAAAAAUAAUAGAAGAGCAACUUGUUCCCGGACCAUUUCAACCUGUGUCCAUCCCAUCGACAAGAGAUGAGAAGAAUGAGAUACCAGUUAAAAUAACAGUCAUUAAUGACAGCAGGACGAAGAACCUCUCACCCCUUCCUCUUGCCUGCUUCUGGAGUUCUCCCAAAGAUUUUCCUGAUGAGCCCAUAGAAAAUAAGCUCACAUCGUAAUACUUUUAGUCCACUUUUAUAAUCCAUUAUUUUAUCUGCCAGCACAAUGUCCAAAGAACAUUAAAUCUAAGAGAUUCAUAGCAG